UCUGUUGUUAAAGAAGAAUGCCUUUCAGAGUAACUGUUCUAAGGGUUGACGGUAUCCAACCAGAAAGCCACGGCUAACUACGUGCCAGCAGCCGCGGUAAUACGUAGGUGGCAAGCGGUUACUCCGGAUCUAUUGACGCGUGAAAGCGAGCGCACGCCGGUUUUUUAAGUCUGAUGUGAAAGCCCUCGGCUUAACCGAAGAAGUGCAUAGGAAACUGGGAGACUUGAGUGCAGAAGAGGACAGUGGAACUCCAUGUGUAGCGGUGAAAUGCGUAGAUAUAUGGAAGAACACCAGUGGCGAAGGCGGCUGUCUAGUCUGUAACUGACGCUGAGGCUCGAAAGAACGGGUAGCGAACAGGAUUAGAUACCCUGGUAGUCCAUGCCGUAAACGAUGAAUGCUAAGUGUUGGAGGGUUUCCGCCCUUCAGUGCUGCAGCUAACGCAUUA
rnacentral:rRNA from 2 species